rnacentral:tRNA from 1 species
CUGGGGUUGUGGCUCAGCGGUAGAGUGCUCACCUAGCACGUGCAAGGCCCUGGGUUCAAUCCUCAGACCACAUA